UACGAAGGGGGCUAGCGUUGCUCGGAAUCACUGGGCGUAAAGCGCACGUAGGCGGACUCUUAAGUCGGUGGUGAAAUCCUGGAGCUCAACUCCAGAACUGCCUUCGAUACUGGGAGUCUCGAGUCCGGGAGAGGUGAGUGGAACUGCGAGUGUAGAGGUGAAAUUCGUAGAUAUUCGCAAGAACACCAGUGGCGAAGGCGGCUCACUGGUCCGGUACUGACGCUGAGGUGCGAAAGCGUGGGGAGCAAACAGG
rnacentral:rRNA from 1 species